rnacentral:misc_RNA from 1 species
GAAAACUUGGCAAACAUCAGCUCAUAUGAUGAUUCAAUGCAUAAUUUUUAUCUAUGAAAAAGAAAAUAGGCUGGGAUUAAAAUAUUUAGAUUCGCCAUAUCUGAUAAUGUAUAUCUAUAACUAAAAACAAAGCGUAAACACAAGAAGAAGCAUGGUAGCACUGACUUCCACGAUGAUCUAGAUAAAACCUAUAAAAUGCUCAUGUAUAUACUAUAAAAAUGGAGCUCAUAAAUUUUGAUAGGCACUCUAUCAAGUAAAAAGUAAAAUCUCAUGCUCCAAUUUCACAAUCAACGGGUGCAUCCAAAACCACCACAGAUUGACACCCAAAUUAUGAAUAGUGUCAGGCAAACAGCAGCAUCAAUUGCAAGAAUAGUCCUUACUUGGCACCACCACUUCUUUCGAAUGCUUUGAGAACUCGACCUGAUCCUCAUUGAACCCAAAUCCUUUUGUAAUGAAAUUUGAGAUGCUACUCCACCUUGGUUAUUAGAAUCCAAUGAAGUCGAAUCAAUUUUAACUCCUCUAUCUGUAGAUUUCCUAUGCUCCUCCAACUCAAUAUCUCUCAUAACAAUCACAUGUUCCUUUGAUUUCUUCUUCUCUUGCUUGUUAGAUUUUGCCAACAAAGGGGCUUUAGUGGAUGUAAGAACUUCAAUUUGCCCAUUUGCAUCACUUGGUGAUGGAGACAAACCCAUAUUAUCAGAUGAGGAAGUUUCAGUAUUCCAAUCAUGUUGAGAUACAUGUUCCAAUGAAGUUAUUAAACGGCGAACAACAGGCACUAGUUGUUCUUGUACGUUGAUUGAACUCAAACCUGAAAAACUUCCCCUUGAACCCUUUCUAGCUACCUUCUUAAACUCAUCCCUCACAUGUUCUAAAAAAUGAAGUACAGCUGAGUUUCCAAGACCUUCAUCAACAAUUAUAAAAUAAACAUAACCGUCUUCUAUCAAAAACCCAAAAGUCCUCUUGCCAAUUGUCUCAAAAUACCACUUGUGAUACGCAGGAAUCCUUUCCAAUGACAAGGCUGCCAAAUUCUCAAUCUCAUCAUCACCCCCACUAUACACAUACAAGUUCCGAUUACCCCUAAAUACACAACAAUAAUGAACAGUAUUUUGAAUUGAACCCAUCUUGCUAAGACCUAGUUUAGAAAGUUUUCACAUCAAGAACUUUUCUACACACCACCAAAUAACUAAAACUCUACAAUUGGGUUUUAUAUCAAUAUCAACAAGCCAAAGAACAUAUUAGGUGAAUCUAAGAGACCAAGAUUUGGAAGAAGAGAAACACAAUAAAUUCCUCAAUAGAAUAUAUGAAAUCCAAACAAAACACAAGAAACUCUUCAGCAGCAAAGUCAAAAGCUUCCAACAAAUACCAGCAAACUCAUUCAGCUAGACAAGUCCCUUAAGCCUUUCAUCAAGAGUCUUACUAGCACAACCUGAAAUAGUGGAAUUAAAAUCAUAUUCAAGGUCAAAUAACUCACAUAAGCACUCAAAACACAACAUCGUAAAAGAAAUUUAGGGUUUUCGAUCAACAAUCUUAGCUGCCAGUGCCAACACAACCCCAGAGAAAAAUAUACAAUAUUAAAUAAAAAAUUGACUUACGAAACAGUCAAGAGGUACAAAUUUUGAGAAAAUCCCAACAAAAACUAUCCAAUGAAGUGAAAGAUCGAUCUAAGAAACUGAAAGUUUCGUGCCAAAGUAAAGAAUGGCAAUCAAAAUUAUGUUUGGAGAUCAGGAAGUGAAGAGAAAGAUCAAAACAUGUACAUCAUGUGCAAAUUAACAAAAAAGUGGACUUUCAAACAGAUCAAUUAGAUAAGUUUUCUUGGAAAGGAAUCAUUACCUGUGAAAUUUUCCCAAAGCAUUGAGGAUAGGACUCGAGUCCGCAGGGAGAGAAAGAGGGACAGGGGCCGAGGAGGGGGGCUGGGCUGAG